rnacentral:rRNA from 1 species
GUUGAUAGGUUCGGUGUGGAAGCGCGGUAACGCGUGGAGCUGACGAAUACUAAUCGGUCGAGGACUUAUCCACA